UACGUAGGGGGCAAGCGUUGUCCGGAUUUAUUGGGCGUAAAGAGCGUGUAGGCGGCUUUACAGGUCCGUUGUGAAAACUCGAGGCUCAACCUCGAGACGCCGGUGGAAACCGUAAGGCUAGAGUCCGGAAGAGGAGAGUGGAAUUCCUGGUGUAGCGGUGAAAUGCGCAGAUAUCAGGAGGAACACCCGUGGCGAAAGCGGCUCUCUGGGACGGUACUGACGGCUA
rnacentral:rRNA from 1 species